UCAGUUGAUGAAGGAGUAUUGUUACUAGAAGGAAGCAUUGUAGUAUUUUUUAGUAUUUUAGUAGUUUAGAAUAUAGUUAAUUGUGUGACCCUAAUAAGUAAAGCUCAUGUACUUACUCUUUCACUGUGUUCGAAUUUCCAUAUACAAGUUUAUUCAAAAAAGAAUUGUAGAAUAAGAAAAUUUCAAUCACAAAUACUCUUGUCAAAUCAUCAAAGAUAUGAAUUAAAACAAGAAGAACCUCAAAAUAUUCUUCUAUAAUUUAAGAAGUAUAAAUAUUCACUCCAAAAAUAAUAUAAUAUUAAGAUUAAAAUAGCUAUUACGAAAGACAAAAGAGUAUAGACUUUUAAAACUAUACUAAGAAUAAAAAAGGCAUUGACAAAAGUGAAGAAGGCUUCAUUCCUACCUCUACAUAUAUUAUCUAUAUAUGAGUUAUAUAACAAUGUUCUAUAAGACCUCCGACACAUGUUUUAACUUACAAGGCAAGUUUUCUAUAUGUGCGCCAUUUUUUUUAGCUUAUAUCACAAACUACCAAUACAUAUAAUAUAUGGUUAACUUAUUGACUAAGUUUUCAACCUACCAAUUAUUUAUA
rnacentral:lncRNA from 1 species